rnacentral:snoRNA from 1 species
UUUUCUGAUGACACUUUAUUUUUUGCUCGAAGACGCAAGUCACUGUGGGCAGAUUUCUCAUAGACUACAACGGUAUCUGACA